rnacentral:rRNA from 1 species
GGAAUUUUCCGCAAUGGGCGAAAGCCUGACGGAGCAACGCCGCGUGAGGGAUGAAGGCCUCUGGGCUGUAAACCUCUUUUCUCAAGGAAGAAGAUCUGACGGUACUUGAGGAAUAAGCCACGGCUAAUUCCGUGCCAGCAGCCGCGGUAAUACGGGAGUGGCAGGCGUUAUCCGGAAUUAUUGGGCGUAAAGCGUCCGCAGGCGGCCUUGUAAGUCUGCUGUCAAAGCGUGGAGCUUAACUCCAUUUCGGCAGUGGAAACUACAAGGCUUGAGUGUGGUAGGGGCAGAGGGAAUUCCCGGUGUAGCGGUGAAAUGCGUAGAUAUCGGGAAGAACACCAGUGGCGAAGGCGCUCUGCUGGGCCAUAACUGACGCUCAUGGACGAAAGCCAGGGGAGCGAAAGGGAUUAGAUACCCCUGUAGUCCUGGCCGUAAACGAUGAACACUAGGUGUCGGGGGAAUCGACCCCCUCGGUGUCGUAGCCAACGCGUUAAGUGUUCCGCCUGGGGAGUACGCACGCAAGUGUGAAACUCAAAGGAAUUGACGG